rnacentral:rRNA from 1 species
AGUGAACGCUGGCGGUAGGCCUAACACAUGCAGGUCGAACGGCAGCACAGUAAGAGCUUGCUCUUACGGGUGGCGAGUGGCGGACGGGUGAGGAAUACAUCGGAAUCUACUUUUUCGUGGGGGAUAACGUAGGGAAACUUACGCUAAUACCGCAUACGACCUACGGGUGAAAGCAGGGGAUCUUCGGACCUUGCGCGACUGAAUGAGCCGAUGUCGGAUUAGCUAGUUGGCGGGGUAAAGGCCCACCAAGGCGACGAUCCGUAGCUGGUCUGAGAGGAUGAUCAGCCACACUGGAACUGAGACACGGUCCAGACUCCUACGGGAGGCAGCAGUGGGGAAUAUUGGACAAUGGGCGCAGGCCUGAUCCAGCCAUACCGCGUGGGUGAAGAAGGCCUUCGGGUUGUAAAGCCCUUUUGUUGGGAAAGAAAAGCAGCAGGUUAAUACCCCGCUGUUCUGACGGUACCCAAAGAAUAAGCACCGGCUAACUUCGUG